rnacentral:lncRNA from 1 species
UUCAUUGGUUCCCUUUCCUUGCUUUCCCUGUCCAUCGAAGAAACAAAAGCAGAACCAUACCAUUACUCCAAAAUCAACAGCUCCUUCGUCAUCGUGACCUCCACCGUCGUCCAACUCUGGCAGCCACCGCCCACCUGCCCUUGAAUUCUCUCACUCUCAGUAAUGGGAUUUGGGUCGAACAACUGGACGGGUAAUUAAGACGUACCGAGCAAACCGAGGUCGUUAGAUUUAUUGGAUGUGGAACUUGCUGUUUGGAGCGGCUUGAGUGGUCAUGGUCAUACUGAUGGGAUCAUUUGUUAAACACUUAUUUAUCACGUUAAAUUAGUAUUUACUUUAGGAUACAUUGAUGCUUCCGCUGAACAUGUGGUCUUUGGAAUAACUUAUGAUUGGGAUUUUUAUUAUUAUUAUUGAAGGAACUUUAUUUUAAACUUAUGAUUCAAUGUAAUUAGUGGCUCAUUGCUAGUGGUCACACGCCUAACAGGGACACUCCCUAGGUGGUAAUUU